GCGGACGGGUGAGUAACGCGUAAGAACCUGCCCUUGGGAGGGGAACAACAGCUGGAAACGGCUGCUAAUACCCCAUAGGCUGAGGAGCAAAAGGAGGAAUCCGCCCAAGGAGGGGCUCGCGUCUGAUUAGUUAGUUGGUGAGGCAAUGGCUUACCAAGGCGACGAUCAGUAGCUGGUCCGAGAGGAUGAUCAGCCACACUGGGACUGAGACACGGCCCAGACUCCUACGGGAGGCAGCAGUGGGGAAUUUUCCGCAAUGGGCGAAAGCCUGACGGAGCAAUGCCGCGUGAAGGCAGAAGGCCCACGGGUCAUGAACUUCUUUUCUCGGAGAAG
rnacentral:rRNA from 1 species